UACAGAGGGUGCGAGCGUUGUUCGGAAUUACUGGGCGUAAAGCGCGUGUAGGUGGUGGGACAAGUCUGCUGUGAAAGUGCCUGGCUUAACCGGGCGAGGUCGGCGGAAACUGUCCGACUCGAGGACGGUAGAGGGGGGUGGAAUUCCCGGUGUAGUGGUGAAAUGCGUAGAGAUCGGGAGGAACACCUGUGGCGAAGGCGGCCCCCUGGGCCGGCCCUGACACUGAGACGCGAAGGCGUGGGGAGCGAACGGG
rnacentral:rRNA from 1 species